rnacentral:rRNA from 1 species
UACGGGGGGGGCAAGCGUUGUUCGGAUUUACUGGGCGUAAAGGGCGCGUAGGCGGCCUAGCAAGUCACUUGUGAAAUCUCCGGGCUUAACUCGGAAACUGCCAUUGAUACUAUCAGUCUUGAAUACCGUGGAGGUCAGUAGAAUAUGUCAUGUAGCGGUGAAAUGCUUAGAUAUGACAUAGAAUACCAAUUGCGAAGGCAGCUGGCUACACGAAUAUUGACACUCAGGCACGAAAGCGUGGGGAUCAAACAGG